UAUUUCCUUUUACUUGGUGAAUUGUUGGAUCAUUCUGUAUCAAUCAACCACAUUGAAGCUUCAUGUAUAAGACAAGAUCAACGAUAUUCAAAGAAGAAACACAGAACGAUCUAAUUAUUCACCAAGUAAAAGGAUACG
rnacentral:pre_miRNA from 1 species